rnacentral:rRNA from 1 species
CACGUAGGGUGCGAGCGUUGUCCGGAAUUACUGGGCGUAAAGAGCUCGUAGGUGGUUUGUCGCGUUGUUCGUGAAAACCGGGGGCUUAACCCUCGGCGUGCGGGCGAUACGGGCAGACUUGAGUACUGCAGGGGAGACUGGAAUUCCUGGUGUAGCGGUGGAAUGCGCAGAUAUCAGGAGGAACACCGAUGGCGAAGGCAGAUCUCUGGGCCGUAACUGACGCUGAGGAGCGAAAGCAUGGGGAGCGAACAGG